GACGAACGCUGGCGGCGUGCUUAACACAUGCAAGUCGAACGAAGAGCGAUGGAAGCUUGCUUCUAUCAAUCUUAGUGGCGAACGGGUGAGUAACGCGUAAUCAACCUGCCCUUCAGAGGGGGACAACAGUUGGAAACGACUGCUAAUACCGCAUACGAUCUAAUCUCGGCAUCGAGGAUAGAUGAAAGGUGGCCUCUACAUGUAAGCUAUCACUGAAGGAGGGGAUUGCGUCUGAUUAGCUAGUUGGAGGGGUAACGGCCCACCAAGGCGAUGAUCAGUAGCCGGUCUGAGAGGAUGAACGGCCACAUUGGGACUGAGACACGGCCCAGACUCCUACGGGAGGCAGCAGUGGGGAAUCUUCCGCAAUGGACGAAAGUCUGACGGAGCAACGCCGCGUGAGUGAUGACGGCCUUCGGGUUGUAGAGCUCUGUUAAUCGGGACGAAAGGCCUUCUUGCGAAUAGUGAGAAGGAUUGACGGUACCGGAAUAGAAAGCCACGGCUAACUACGUG
rnacentral:rRNA from 1 species